AGGUCAAGGAAGAAAGAGCAUGGGGUGGAUGCCUUGGCAUCAACAGCCGAAGAAGGGCGCGACAAGACUGCGAAAAGCCUCAGGGAGCUGUCUAGCAAGCUUAGCUGGGGAUUCCCGAAUGGGGUAACCCGCUCAGGUAAAACUUGAGCACUCGCGUUAAGCGAGGGGGAACCGGGCGAACUGAAACAUCUAAGUAACCCGAGGAAAAGAAAUCAAAGAGAUUCCCUUAGUAGCGGCGAGCGAACGGGGAAAAGCCCAAACCAAUGCAGCUUAGUGGUCCUGAAACUUAUGCUGUUUUGGUGUUGUAAGACACAAGGGAUGGAUUUCAGGGUCCAUCACAAAGUUACAAAAUUUCAUCCUAGUUAAAUGUUUCUGGAAAGGGCAACCAUAGAGGGUAAUAGUCCCGUAGGUUAAAGGAUGGAAUCUUUGCUUGUGUUCUUGAGUACCACGGGACACGUGGAAUCCCGUGGGAAGCUGGGGAGACCACUUUCCAAGGCUAAAUACUGUUGAUGACCGAUAGUGAACCAGUACCGUGAGGGAAAGGUGAAAAGCACCCCGGGAGGGGAGUGAAAUAGAACCUGAAACCCUAUGCUUACAAGCAGUCAGAGGUUUGCUUCGGCAAACUAAUGGCGUGCCUAUUGAAGAAUGAACCGACGACUUGUUCUAUGUGGCUGGGUUAAGCAACUUGUGUUGCGGAGCCAAAGCGAAAGCAAGUCCGAAUAGGGCGUAGCUCGGUUCGCCGAGCAGGUCGCAUGGAGCAGACCCGAAACCGGGUGAUCUAACCAUGGCCAGAGUGAAGCUCAAGUAAAAUUGAGUGGAGGCUCGAACCUGUGAAUGAGGCAAAAUUCUAGGAUGAGCUGUGGUUAGUGCAGGUGAAAUGCCAAUCGAACUCGGAAAUAGCUGGUUCUCCCCGAAAUGCAUUUAGGUGCAGCCUCAGGAAGUAAUUUAUGGAGGUAGAGCUCUGGAUAAGCCAGGGACCGUGAGGUUACCGAACUUAACCAAACUGCGAAUGCCAUAAAUGUAAUCCUGGGAGUGAGACUACGGAGGAUAAGCCCCGUGGUCGAAAGGGAAACAGCCCAGACCAUCAGCUAAGGUCCCUAAAAGCAAGCUAAGUGGGAAAGGAAGUGGUGUUGCAGAAACAGCCAGGAGGUUGGCUCAGAAGCAGCCAUCCUUUAAAGAGUGCGUAACAGCUCACUGGUCGAGUAAUGCUGCGCCGACAAUUUAACGGGGCUUAAGUUUGCUACCGAAGCUAUGGGCUUCCUGAUUUUAUUAGGGAGCGGUAGGGGAGCGUUGUCAUGGCUGAGAAGCUUUGAUGCAAGUCAAGGUGGAGUAGUGACAAGUGAGAAUGUCGGUAUGAGUAGCGUAAAGGUAUGUGAAAACCAUACCCACCGUAAACCUGAGGUUUCCUAUGCAACGUCAAUCGACGUAGGGUUAGCCAGGCCUAAGCCAAACCCUAAUGGGGUAGGCGAUGGACAAUGGGUUAAUAUUCCCAUGCUACUUAGUUUUUGUUUUAAGGCAAAGGGGGGACCCAGGAAGGUAGGCUGAGCAUGUCUAUUGGACAUGGUGUGUUCCCAACUCAAGGUGCAUCAGGGCAGGCAAAUCCACUCUGAUAUUAAGCUGAGAGGAGGGAGAAAUUGAGGGGAAACCCGAGAUGACUCAGUUGAUCCUACACUGGCAAGAAAAACCUCGUUGCUAAAAAGCUAGGUACCUGUACCGCAAACCGCCACUGGUAGGUCGGGAUAAAAGUCCCAAGGUGUUCGAGAGAACCCUCGUUAAGGAACUCGGCAAUUUGACCCCGUAACUUCGGGAGAAGGGGGCCCACCUGUAAAGGUGGGGGCACAAAAUUGGCCCAAGCGACUGUUUAACAAUAACACAGGUCCCUGCUAAAGCGAAAAAGCUGAAAUAUAGGGGCUGAUACCUGUCCAGCGCUAGAAGGUUAAGGAGAGAGGUUAGAGCCUUAGCUCAAAGCUUUGAACUGAAGCCCUAGCAAGCGACGGCCGUAACUAUAACGGUCCUAAGGUAGCGAAAUCCCUUGUCGGGUAAGUUCCGACCCGCACGAAUGAUGUAACGACUUGGGCACUGUCUCAACGAGGGACUCGGCGAAAUUGAAAUGGGGGUGAAGAUGCCCUUUACCCGCGACAGGACAAAAAGACCCUGGCAGCUUUACUAUAGCUUGGCAUUGAGCUUAGAUUGAGCAUGUGUAGAAUAGGUGGGAGGCUUGGAAGCCGGAGCGUCAGCUUCGGUGGAGCCACCGGUGAAAUACCACUCUUGUUCAAUUUUGGUUCUAACUUAUCGCAAGACGAGGACAGUGUCUGGUGGGUAGUUUGACUGGGGCGGUUGCCUCCUAAAAGGUAACGGAGGCGUCCAAAGGUUCCCUCAACACGGAUGGAAACCGUGUGCAGAGUGCAUUGACAUAAGGGAGCUUGACUGCGAGACCUACAAGUCGAACAGAGACGAAAGUCGGGCAAAGUGAUCCCACGGCACUGUGUGGAAGGGCCGUGGCUUAUCGGAUAAAAGCUACGCCAGGGAUAACAGGCUUAUCUUGCCCAAGAGUUCAUAUCGACG
rnacentral:rRNA from 1 species